rnacentral:tRNA from 1 species
GUUGUGGCUCAGAGGUAGAGCACUUGCCUAGCAUGUGUGAGGCCCUGGAUUCGAUUCUCAGCACCACA